rnacentral:rRNA from 1 species
AACGAACGCUGGCGGCGGGGCUUAGGCAUGCAAGUCGAGCGAGAAAGCCGCAAGGUGAGUACAGCGGCGUAAGGGUGAGUAAUAGGUAGUCAACGUACCCACGAGACGCGAAUAAUUUCCCGAAAGGGAUUGUAAUGCGCGAUGAGACCACGCUCUUUUCGGAGAGAGGGGUCAAAGGUCAGGGAUCCUUCGGGACCUGGCGCUCAUGGAGCGGACGACCUCCGAUUAGCAGAUGG